ACAAUAAUAAUCAAGUGCGAAUAAAAUUGGUAGGGUCUGAGACAAUAUAUAAACAUAUUAAAACGUACAUGACACAUAUCACUGUGGACAUUGUCUAUGGCCUUAUUACAACCAGCAAGAGAAUUACAUAAGCGCGUGAGAGCGCGCGCGCACACACACACGUACACACAUGCAUGACAUACAUGGAUUGACUAGAGGUCGCCCCAUAUAGUCAACAAUUUAUUGGAGGUAAACAUUAGCAUAACUUGGCCAUAGAUUGAAGCAAUCCAACACAUGCCGAUGAAUGGCAUCCAUGUUGGUAGUAAUGCAAGCAUAUUAUUUUAGUACAGUCCUUCCAUCUUCGGAGCCACUCCCAUUUCAUCCAUCUUAGCAACCACUGUGAAAUUAAGAUAUCGAACUCCCAUUAGCUCAUGAGUCAAUUUUGCAAGGGCAGGAGAGUAUAAGGGGUCUUUGUGUAGGAAGUAAUAUGCUUGAAGUUGUGAGAUGGGACAUGAAGUCAACGAAGUACAUUAAUGAAAAUCCGUGGAAGGUCACAAAUAUGUAUUAGUCCACCAUACGACACAGAUCUUGUAUUUACAAAUAUCAAAGGCAUUGAUUAAAGUGAGUUUAGUGCAUUUACCAGAAUCUUCAAGAAGACACGGGAAACAACAAGUGUUCUUGCAGGCAAAGUCAGAGCCACCCGCAAAAAUACAACUAGAACAACAUGCUUUUGCGGCGAAGCUUAUGCAGCAGCCGCAAUCUGCGGUGGUCGAGUUGACGGCGAGGCUCAGGAUGAGCAGGCACAUGAUCACCUUCAGAGUGGUAGUGCUAAUGAGCAUCCUCUUACCCUCCAUUUUCUCUUGUUGAUGUUUCCUGCCUUGGUUAACUAGCUAAGUUUCUUGGUUUUGUGUUGAGAGGUGCUUCUUAAAUGGAUGUUGCUCGCUGCAAUUUAUAGGCAAUUGCAUUACGUUAUGGUAUGUAUAAGGUGCGAGUGGGUGGAAAAUCAUGUAGUAUUCAAUGUGACAGUAUCGACAAUUGAUGACUUUGGUUGGUAAACCGGACAAAUUCAUUCACACGUAUCUUGCGGAGGAAAUGCUGCAUCACCUACCAUAUUCAAUAUUAGGGAGAAAGCCUGAACCACGCCAAUAAUUUGCAACGAGGCACAAAAAGCUACCCCAAGUAGUGGAGUUCGUAUGAUAUUAGCAAGCUAUAAGCGAUAACCAUGGAGGCAAUUAACACUAGCCCGUCAAAGAUGGUGCUAGCCACUUAUGGUGUUGAAUGCAACUUUUUGCAAAUAUGUAUGGACUUUGGUUAGUAAAAUUUCAACAGGCGCUACAUAUAUAUUUUGCUACACAAAAUUGAUUGGAAGCAAUAGAGUAGGCUAGUUCUUAGGUAGACCUUUAGCAAUGUUCAUCUUGGCCAUGGUGUCAGAGAUCAGAUUAUAAGUAUGACGUACAUGCAACUUGAUCCCUUGUCCUCAUAUUUUAAUUCCCGCAUUCACAAGUUGCACGUACUAAGCACUCCCAAUUAUUACCAUUUUCAUUAUGCAACUCUUUCUAUUUUUUAUUUAUUUUUUAAUAUACAAAUGUCAUUUAACAAACAAUCUAUUUUAUUCAGCUAGCGGAACUCGGGCAAAACCGUUUUUUAUCUAAGUCUACAAAACCUAGUAUAUUGUUUGGGCAUACAUUUUACAUUUCUAAGAUAGAACCCCAAGAUAUUAGGCACUGUGUCAGUUGUAUCAAACUUAUUUCUAUAUGACAUCGAAAUGUUAGAGAUAUUGAUAUGAUGCAAUGCACCGGGAUUAUCCUUAAAAAUGAAAAACAAUUAAAAGGAGGAAAACUUGUGCAAAGAGUCCUUACGUGAUAUGGUCCUCAUCAAAAUUACCAAAUUUGGAAUAUGGUGCUUUGAAAAAAAGAGUGUUCUCAAAAAGAGGUAUCAUGCCUGGCUUAUCUUGGCUUUCAACCCAAAUGGCCAUAUCCAUUGCAAACAUUGUUUUUCGUUUUCCCAUAUUCGGCACACACAUGCAUCUUGGAACACAAAUCCAACCAACAACCAAUGAUAGUUUCAAUCCUUAGAGGUGCGGGCGAGGACAAUUAAAAACUUGUGAAAUAGGUGUACCCGAAGAAUAAUUCCCUAUUCGAAUAUAUAGAUUGGGUCACUCUGUCUCAAAAUCACAACAAAAAAAUGUUUUGUUGAACAUCCUCUGUUAGAUAAGACAACAAGAUGAUGGUAGUUUUGGGUCCUUCACAAAACAAGAAACUAACCAAGAGAUUAGGAUGACUGAUCUAUCCCGCGUAUGUCUUGCAAAUCAGUUGUUGAUAACAUUGCCAUUAGGUGUUUGAUCGCAUUCACAUUCAACAUCUUUGGGUAUUUUACUAUCAUUGAUGUUGACACAUAUGGUUGUUUCCAAGAAAAAUUUAACAAAAUCCGAAUGAUUGAGAUAACCAUCUGCAAUGACUAAGAAAACCCUCUGCAAUAUUCAAUAGCUUAAAGUAUUUUGCAACUUAUCUCUACAAAAAAGGAGUAUUAAUCAACUUGCUGCUCUACAAAACAUGAUACUACCUCAUCCAUAUCUAGACAAAUCUCAAAAAAGUACUAUUGAUCGGAGGGAGUACAAAGGCUACUGGUAUACUUUCACAUGAAAUACUUUCUUCUUGCAAAAGAUAUAAAUGGUGCUAAUAUUAUACAUUUAAGUUUUAUAGAGGCCCGGUGUGUUCGUUAUGCUUGUAUCACUUGAUGUGACAUUCUCAUGAAAUAAAAAGUGACAUUUAUCCAAAAAAGACCUCCAGUCUUGUGUAAACUCCAAUCUUUAUGGAAAACCAUGCUUGCAGAAUGAACCAAUCGGCUAAUGCCAGUCUUGUGUAAUAUAUGUAGAUCAUCUCACAACUUUUGCAUUAGAUCAUGGUUACUUCAUAACAUGAUGAGAAGAAAUUCAAACCCAUGAAAAGCUUAUGCAAAUACGAUAACCUUGUAAAUUGCAUGAAAUAGAACCAACAAUUGAAAAUAUUAUAAUUAGGUGUUCGUUCACAUUCAUAUUCAACAGCUCUGGAUAUUCAUUAUUGUUUCAUGUUUUUUAAGAGAUCUUAAUGAUUCAAAUUGCAUUACGUUAUGAUAUGUAUAAGGUGCGAGUGGGUGGAAAAUCAUGUAGUAUUCAAUGUGACAGUAUCGACAAUUGAUGACUUUGGUUGGUAAACCGGACAAAUUCAUUCACACGUAUCUUGCGGAGGAAAUGCUGCAUCACCUACCAUAUUCAAUAUUAGGGAGAAAGCCUGAACCACGCCAAUAAUGUGCAACGAGGCACAAAAAGCUACCCCAAGUAGUGGAGUUCGUAUGAUAUUAGCAAGCUAUAAGCGAUAACCAUGGAGGCAAUUAACACUAGCCCGUCAAAGAUGGUGCUAGCCACUUAUGGUGUUGAAUGCAACUUUUUGCAAAUAUGUAUGGACUUUGGUUAGUAAAAUUUCAAUAGGCGCUACAUAUAUAUUUUGCUAUACAGAAUUGAUUGGAAGCAAUAGAGUAGGCUAGUUCCUAGGUAGACCUUUAGCAAUGUUCAUCUUGGCCAUGGUGUCAGAGAUCAGAUUAUAAGUAUGACGUACAUGCAACUUGAUCCCUUGUCCUCAUAUUUUAAUUCCCGCAUUCACAAGUUGCACGUACUAAGCACUCCCAAUUAUUACCAUUUUCAUUAUGCGACUCUUUCUAUUAUUUAUUUAUUUUUUAAUAUAUAAAUGUCAUUUAACAAACAAUCUAUUUUAUUCAGCUAGCGGAACUCGGGCAAAACCAUUUUUUAUCUAAGUCUAGAAAACCUAGUAUAUUGUUUGGGCAUACAUUUUACAUUUCUAAGAUAGAACCCCAAGAUAUUAGGCACUGUGUCAGUUGUAUCAAACUUAUUUCUAUAUGACAUCGAAAUGUUAGAGAUAUUGAUAUGAUGCAAUGCACCGGGAUUAUCCUUAAAAAUGAAAAACAAUUAAAAGGAGGAAAACUUGUGCAAAGAGUCCUUACGUGAUAUGGUCCUCAUCAAAAUUACCAAAUUUGGAAUAUGGUGCUUUGAAAAAAAGAGUGUUCUCAAAAAGAGGUAUCAUGCCUGGCUUAUCUUGGCUUUCAACCCAAAUGGCCAUAUCCAUUGCAAACAUUGUUUUUCGCUUUCCCAUAUUCGGCACACAUGCAUCUUGGAACACAAAUCCAACCAACAACCAAUGAUAUUUUCAAUUCUUAGAGGUGCGGGCGAGGACAAUUAAAAACUUGUGAAAUAGGUGUACCCGAAGAUUAAUUCGCUAUUCGAAUAUAUAGAUUGGGUCACUCUGUCUCAAAAUCACAACAAAAAAAUGUUUUGUUGAACAUCCUCUGUUAGAUAAGACAACAAGAUGAUGGUAGUUUUGGGUCCUUCACAAAACAAGAAACUAACCAAGAGAUUAGGAUGACUGAUCUAUCCCGCGUAUGUCUUGCAAAUCAGUUGUUGAUAACAUUGCCAUUAGGUGUUUGAUCGCAUUCACAUUCAACAUCUUUGGGUAUUUUACUAUCAUUGAUGUUGACACAUAUGGUUGUUUCCAAGAAAAAUUUAACAAAAUCCGAAUGAUUGAGAUAACCAUCUGCAAUGACUAAGAAAACCCUCUGCAAUAUUCAAUAGCUUAAAGUACUUUGCAACUUAUCUCUACAAAAAAGGAGUAUUAAUCAACUUGCUGCUCUACAAAACAUGAUUCUACGUCAUCCAUAUCUAGACAAAUCUCAAAAAAGUACUAUCGAUCGGAGGGAGUACAAAGGCUACUAGUAUACUUUCACAUGAAAUACUUUCUUCUUGCAAAAGAUAUAAAUGGUGCUAAUAUUAUACAUUUAAGUUUUAUAGAGGCCCGCUGUGUUCGUUAUGCUUGUAUCACUUGAUGUGACAUUCUCAUGAAAUAAAAAGUGACAUUUAUCCAAAAAAGACCUCCAGUCUUGUGUAAACUCCAGUCUUUAUGGAAAACCAUGCCUGCAGAAUGAACCAAUCGGCUAAUGCCAGUCUUGUGUAAUAUAUGUAGAUCAUCUCACAACUUUUGCAUUAGAUCAUGGUUACUUCAUAACAUGAUGAGAAGAAAUUCAAACCCAUGAAAAGCUUAUGCAAAUACGAUAACCUUGUAAAUUGCAUGAAAUAGAACCAACAAUUGAAAACAUUAUAAUUAGGUGUUCGUUCACAUUCAUAUUCAACAGCUCUGGAUAUUCAUUCUUGUUUCAUGUUUUUUAAGAGAUCUUAAUGAUUCAGAUUGCCCUCUGCAUCAAGGGAGAGGAUGCUUAAAGUAAUUUUUUUUCAAAUGUUCUAUUAAAGAAACUAGUAUUGCUCAACCUGCUGCUAUAGAAAAUAGAAAUAAAGGCGCAUAUGCUCCUUGGGUGCCCCAGAUUUUAGCCUAUGUAUCCAUAUGUAGGGUAAUAUCAGUGACAAUGUUUUCGAUGGUGUCAAGGAGAGGAUCAUCUACAACUUAGAACAUCUUGUUCAUGGAACCCCAUAUUAUCCAUACUACAUGUAGUAGAAUUAAGCAUGGGAUAAAUAUAGCCUGAGGGCAUUGCUGUUGAGGAGAGAUCACAAAUUUGGAUGGAGAGUGCGUGCCAUAUCCUUCAAGCAGCAGGACAGGUGAAGAAGAGGUUAUGUUCAUCGUGGGCAGAUGGAGCUGUUGAGGAUUCUUUGUUUUUUGUAGAUUGCAUCUUGUGUUUAGUCUGUCCAGGUAGAAGAGCCAGGCGAAGAUCUGUACUCUCUUUCAAGGUGCGGUCGUGUGGAUCCGAAUGCUGCGGGAGAUAGGGUAGCAUAUGCCCCCUCUUGAUGAAAGCUGACCCAUUAAGCAGCCCUCGCUCAUCAGGAUCCUGCAACAGAGAGUUUAACGAGCGAAGCUCUGGCGAGGCAGUUGAGGUUAGUCGGUUACGCAAGGCAAGUUCGACCUGCAUGAUGGCAUCUUGGUGGGAUGGGUGAGAGAAAAUGGUAGGGCAAACAGUGGCUAAUGGUACAGGUUUGAUCAACCUGUCAAGCCAGAACAAACAAUAUCAAAUAGAGCACUGAGAAAUGGUUCAGGUUUCCCAAAAAGAAUCUUUAGUUUGUUAGAUAAUAUUAUUGCAUAAUUGUUUCGUAGAGUAUCAUAUAUGGACUCUUGGUCCGAUAUGAUCUUCCUUGUGAAUGUAGGUACUUCAAAACAUGAGGAAACAAUAUCUCGUUUAGUCCUAGCCAUAAAAUUAAGAUUUGAUGGUUAUUUUGCAGCACUUGUCAAGGAUUAACAUGGAGGCUCGUAUGGUGCCUCCAAUUAAUAAAUAUAUGAUUUUGACAUGGGCUUCUUAUAUAUUUUGCUAUAAAAAUUGAUUGGAAUAAAUACGUCCGCCUAGUUCGCUAGGAUAGGCCUUUAGCAUGGUUUAUCAUCUCCAUUGUGUUGAAGAUUAGACGAUAAGUAUGAAGUAAAUGCAACUUGAUCCCAAGUCUUCAUAUUCCAAUCCCCAAAUUUACAACUUGCUUGUACUAUGCACAUCCUAUUAGUAACUUUUUUUGCUAGGCACACUUUUUAUAAUUUAUUAGGUGUUCCAUCACCUUCACAUUCAACUGCGGGUAUUCUGUUCUCGCAGAUGACUGGCUCUUUCAUAAAGAAUGUUUAAGGAAGUCUUAAUGACUGGGAAAGCCCUCCAGAUAGAAUGGUUGAAGUACUCUUGAACUGCACUGUAUGUAUUGCUUCUAGCUUUGGAUGAGCUUAAUAUCAUUUACGAGUAUUAAUCUAGUUCAUAUGGAAGUUUGUAUCCAAGCUAGUUGUGUACGUAUAUUAGGAGUCCAAGUGUUUGGCCGAGCUUAGCACUAGUCCGACUAGGAUAAGUAUGAUGGUUGAUCAUGUACACGUGGUUUUUUGAGUUUGGGUUCCAAGGUGUGUCCUAAUGCUAGUAGUAAUAGGAAGUACGAGGUACGAGUAGGAUUAGUUGGUCUAUAGGUUGGCCACAUUGUGUGUGUGUGUGUGUGUGUACAUACUAGCAAAAUAGAUUGUGCGUUGCAACGAGAGAGAAAAUAACACACACUCUUAACCUAGUAACCAUGAAUCAAGAUUCUAAUAGGUCCACGCCCUUUAUUUUCAAAUGGAAUCACAUUUUUGUUGCCGACGGUGGUCUCAGUGCUCAGAAAACAAAAUCGCGUUUGAAUGUGGUCAGUCCUAGGCCUCUCUCUCUCUCUCUCUCUCUCUCUCUCUCUCUCUCUCUCUCUCUCUCUCUCUCUCUCACGCGCGGGCACACGCACUCACUCGGAAUAGUAUGAGAAAUAUGUUGUUUUCAGCGGUGUGCAUGCAUGGUUAUCGAUGUUUUCUUUCCUCUCAAUCUGGUUUUAAUGGGUGUUUAUUUGAAAUUCGAAUCGCCGCCAGUACCAAAGAAAAAGGACCAUGCACAAUAAACUAAGUUUGCACCAAAAAUAAUAUUUAAGAAAUAUUUAACAGCUAAAAAUAACAUAAUGUUUAGAUUCUACACAUUUUUUAAUCAAAUUUCAUAUAUAACAUGUUAAAAUUAGAGUUACGGUUUAAAAAUAUGAAUAAUUUUGUCUUAGAUAAACUAUGGAUUGAUUAACCGAAAAGUCAGAGGGUUUUCUGUUAAAACAACAAAAAGAUCCAGCUGACUUAAAUAUGGAUGACGGGUUGAUUACCUGAAAUGUCAGGGUUUUAUUGAGAAAUUCAAAAACACGGUUUGGCUAUGACUUAAACGUGUACUGCGGGUUAAUUUACACAAAACACAGGGAUUUUUUUUAAAUGGCAUGACGUUGAGCAGUCACAAGCACUCUGUGCUUUAUUAUUAGGUGUAGAUAUAGACGCGAGGAUAUAUCAAGAUUGUACCGUGAAGAAAAGGAGAAAAGAAUAAAGAAGAGGAAGAAAGAGUACGACAAGGCCCCUUGGAUACAAGGUUUGUGUGUGUUUGUGUGUGCGUGUGNNNNNNNNNNNNNNNNNNNNNNNNNNNNNNNNNNNNNNNNNNNNNNNNNNNNNNNNNNNNNNNNNNNNNNNNNNNNNNNNNNNNNNNNNNNNNNNNNNNNNNNNNNNNNNNNNNNNNNNNNNNNNNNNNNNNNNNNNNNNNNNNNNNNNNNNNNNNNNNNNNNNNNNNNNNNNNNNNNNNNNNNNNNNNNNNNNNNNNNNNNNNNNNNNNNNNNNNNNNNNNNNNNNNNNNNNNNNNNNNNNNNNNNNNNNNNNNNNNNNNNNNNNNNNNNNNNNNNNNNNNNNNNNNNNNNNNNNNNNNNNNNNNNNNNNNNNNNNNNNNNNNNNNNNNNNNNNNNNNNNNNNNNNNNNNNNNNNNNNNNNNNNNNNNNNNNNNNNNNNNNNNNNNNNNNNNNNNNNNNNNNNNNNNNNNNNNNNNNNNNNNNNNNNNNNNNNNGUGUGUGUGUUCAUCAUGUUAUAGGUGGUGAAACACACUAAUGAGCAAGGUAAAACUCACAUCGAUCAAGGUCAGUGGCAUUUGUUCAAGUUUGUAAGGUGACUGUAGGACGCCUAGUUACGUCUGUGAACAAAAAGAGUCAGUACCGGCAAGGUCAGUGGCCAUAGUAGUAGCAGUUGUAGGAUCAACAUGUAGGAGUAUCAAGGUAGACACGAAGAAUGGAUAACUAUCCCAGUUGCACCUACAAACUGAUCCAGAAUUGUUUCCAAGUUUUUUGCAGCAAGUGGAGUAGCCUUGACAGCGACCAAGGUGGCAUUGACAUAUUAUGGUGUCGGUCAUAGGAGAUCUGGUUAUAGUGGUUGAGAAUAAAAUAUUCCGUUUGCCUUUGAUUAAUUAUGCGUUGUCUGUAAUUUGGUAUUCAUGAAAGUCACUAUCACGAUUAAUUGACCAUGUUCUAGAUCUCUACAUCAAAUUUAUUCCUGUUAACCUCAAUGUUAUAGCUACAUCGAGAUACUUAUUUUUCAUAUGCGAGUAAUUGGUUGAGCUCUCCCAGCAGGACGAAGCAGCAAAGGGAGCAAAAUGUAUACCAAACUGUGGAUGAAUGCCACAAUGGGGUAACUCGGAAAGUUUAACUCAUGCUCUAUGUCUUGCCCAAGGACAACAUACUCCGCGUGCAACUUUUUGUGUAUAUACCAGACGAUGCGCCAUAAACUAAUUUUUGUUACAAAUGGUAACAUAUUAGUAUCAAGAUGACACAAAUUUCCAUUACAAAUAUACAAUAAACCAUUGUAGACCUCAUCGGUGUGAAAAAUUAAUUGGACGAACUAAAGUUUUGCAAUGAGAUGCUGAUGGUAGGCAUCAACAUGGACUUGGAGCUCGACUUGGAGUUGUCGUACUACUAGUAACUUUCUAGAUCACAUGGAAAACUAUGAAUCCAAACAAGAUAACAGAUACAGUGAUGUAUUAUAUAUGAGCACAGAGAGAGAAAAAAAUAGAAACUUUAAACAUGGCUUCCAACGGGUUCUUCUGGUGUGUUAAGAGCCUUUAGAAGAUGAAACUGGGCUAGCUAUGGCCCUAGCCAUAAAGAACAUGGAAUUAGUGAUAUUACAACCGUGAAGGCUAACACGAAUAAGUUUCUAAGCGCCCCAACUGUGAUCAACACCACGAUCAAAAGUAUCCGCAACCGAAGAUGUAGUUAAAUCUAUCGAUGAUGCUGUCAAAUACCUCAUCUCGCUGAUUGGGAACCGGAGUCACCAUAUACGCCAACAUGAAAACCAGGUCAGCUAUGCAUAUAGAGAAUCUCACCCAGAUAGACUGAAAAAACCGUUGGUCAAUGAGGCUCUCUUUUCUCAGCUGUAUUAUCUCUUUGCGGUGCCUAUUUUAGCGAACUCUUUUUCCAGCUCAAUAAGGUUGUGUUUUCACAACUUUGCUGCAUGUACACCGUAUACUGUCCCCCGAACACCAAGCCUUCCAAUCCCAAGAACAAAAGGAAAGAGAUAGCAGCCCAAAAAUAGACCAAGUUAUCUUUCCAGCAUUGUCUUUCCUACCAGGAUUCGAAAUCCUUCUUGGCAAGACGAGCUGAAUUAUCUCCCAUAGUCCGAAACUCACAAGAACAUCAAAAAUCCGACGUGAAUGAAUUCAAUAAAGAACAGGUAUAGAUAAAAAAAAAUAAUCAAGUACGAAUAAAAUUGGUAGGGUCUCAGACAAUAUAUUCACAUAUGAGAACGUACAUGACACAUAUCACUGUGGACAUUGUCUAUGGCCUUAUUACAAGCAACAAGAGAAAUUACAUAGGCGUGUGAGUGCGCGUGCGCGCGCACACACACGUGCACACAUGCAUGACAUACAUGGAUUGACUAGAGGUCGCCCCAUAUAGUCAACAAUUUAUUGGAGGUAAACAUUAGCAUAACUUGGCCAUAGAUCGAAGCAAUCCAACAUAUGCCGAUGAAUGGCAUCCAUGUUGGUAGCAAUGCAAGCAUAUCGUUUUAGUACAGUCCUUCCAUCUUCGAAGCCACUCCCAUUUCAUCCAUCUUAGCAACCACUGUGAAAUCAAGAUAUCGAACUCCCAUUAGCGCAUGAGUUAAUUUUGCCAGGGCAGGAGAGUAUAAGAGGUCUUUGUGUAGGAAGUAACAUGCUUGAAGUUGUGAGAUGGGACAUGAAGUCAACGAAGUACAUUAAUGAAAAUCGGUGGAAGGUCACAGAUAUGUAUUAGUCCACCAUACGACACAGAUCUUGUAUUUACAAAUAUCAAAGGCAUUGAUUAAAGUGAGUUUAGUGCAUUUACCAGAAUCUUCAAGAAUACAGGGGAAACAACAAGUGUUCUUGCAGGCAAAGUCAGAGCCACCCGCAAAAAUACAAGUAGAACAACAUCCUUUUGCGGCUAAGCUUAUGCAGCAGCCGCAGUCUGCGGUGGUCGAGUUUACGGUGAGGCUCAGGAUGAGCAGGCACAUGAUCACCUUCAAAGUGGUAGUGCUAGUGAGCAUCCUCUUACCCUCCCAUUUCUCUUGUUGAUGUUGCCUGCCUUGGUUACCUAGCUAAGUUUCUUGGUUUUGUGUUGAGAGGUGCUUCUUAAAUGGAUGUUGCUUGCUGCAAUUUAUAGGCAAUUGCAUUACGUUAUGAUAUGUAUAAGGUGCGAGUGGGUGGAAAAUCAUGUCGUAUUCAAUGUGACAGUAUCGACAAUUGAUGACAUUGGUUGGUAACCCGGACAAAUUCAUUCACACGUAUCUUGCGGAGGAAAUGUUGCAUCACCUACCAUAUUCAAUAUUAGGGAGAAAGCCUGAACUACACCAAUAGUGUGCAACGAGGCACAAAAAGCUACCACAAGUAGUGGAGUUCGUAUGAUAUUAGCAAGCUAUAAACAAUAACCAUGGAGGCAAUUAACACUAGCCCGUCAAAGAUGGUGCUAGCAACUUAUGGUGUUCAAUGCAACACCAGAGCAAAUAUGUAUGGACUUUGGUUAGUAAAAUUUCAACAGGCGCUACAUAUAUAUUUUUCUAUACAAAAUUGAUUGGAAGCAAUAGAGUAGGCUAGUUCCUAGGUAGACCUUUAGCAAUGUUCAUUUUGGCCAUGGUGUCGGAGAUCAGAUUAUAAGUAUGACGUACAUGCAACUUGAUCCCUUGUCCUCAUAUUUUAAUUCCCGCAUUCACAAGUUGCACGUACUAAGCACUCCCAAUUAUUACCCUUUUCAUUAUGCAACUACUUUUAGAAUUUAUUUAUUUUUAAUAUACAAAUGUCAUUUAACAAACAAUCUAUUUUAUUCAGCUAGCGGAGGUCGGGCAAAACCGUUUUUUAUCCAAGUCUAGAAAACCUUGUAUAUUGUUCGGGCAUACAUUUUGCAUUUCUAAGAUAGAACCCCAAGAUAUUAGGCAUUGUGUCAGUUGUAUCAAACUUAUUUCUAUAUGACAUCAAAAUGUUAGAGAUAUUGAUAUGAUGCAAUGCACCGGGAUUAUCCUUAAAAACGAAAAACAAUUAAAAGGAGGAAAACUUGUGCAAAUAGUCCUUACGUGAUAUGGUCCUCAUCAAAAUUACCAAAUUUGGAAUAUGGUGCUUCGAAAAAAGAGUGUUCUCAAAAAGAGGUAUCAUGCCUGGCUUAUCUUGGCUUUCAACCCAAAUGGACAAGGCGAUGGCCAUAUCCAUGGCAAACAUUGUUUUUCGUUUUCCCAUAUUCAGCACACACAUGCAUCUUGGAACACAAAUCCAACCAACAACCAAUGAUCGUUUCAUUUCUUAGAGGUGCGGGCGAGGACAAUUAAAAACUUGUGAAACAGGUGUACCCGAGGCUUAAUUCACUAUUCGAGUAUACAGAUUGGGUCACUCUGUGUCGAAAUCACAACAAGAAAAUGUUUGGUUGAACAUCCUCUGUUAGAUAAGACUACAAGAUGAUGGUACUUUUGGGUCCUUCACAAAACAAGAAACUAACCAAGAGAUUAGGAUGACUGAUCUGUCCCAUGUAUGUCCUGCAAAUUAGUUGUUGAUAACGUUGCCAUUAUUUAGGAAAAGGCUCCUCACCUGAAUAUAUAUAUGCCACAAACCUUUAUUUAGGAAAAGGCUCCUCACCUGAAUAUAUUUCAAAUGUUUGACAGUUUUACAGGAUCACGCAUAUGCGCGCUCCUUGGGUGCCCCAGAUUUUAGCCUAUGUAUCCAUAUGUAAGGUAAGAUCAGUGCCAAUGUUUUCGAUGGUGUCAAGGGGAGGAUCAUCUACAAGUUAGAACAUCUUGUUCAUGGCACCCCAUAUUAUCCAUACUACAUGUAGAAGAAUUAAGCAUGGGAUAAAUAUAGCCAGAGGGCAUUGCGGUUGAGAAGAGAUCACCAAUUUGGAUGGAGAGUGCGUGCCAUAUCCUUCAAGCAGCAUGACAGGUGAAGAAGAGGUGAUGUCUAUCAUGGGCAGAUGGAGCUGGUGAGGAUUCUUUAUUUUUUGUAGAUUGCAUCUUGUGUUCACUCUGUCCAGGUAGAAGAGCCAGACGAAGAUCUGUAAUCUCUUUCAAGGUGCGGUCCUAUGGAUCCGAAAGCUGGGGUGAUAGGGCAGCAUAUGCCCCCUCUUGAUGAAAGCUGACCCAUUAAGCAACCCUCGCUCGUCAGGAUCCUACAACAGAGAGUUUAAUGAGCCAAGCUCUGGCGAGGCAGUUGAGGUUAGUCGGUUACGCAAGGAAAGUUCGACCUGCAUGAUGGCAUCUUUGGUGGGAUCGGUGAGAGAAAAUGGUAGGGAAAACAUUGGCUAAUGGUUCAGGGUUGAUCCACUUGUCAAGCCAAAACAAACAAUCUCAAACAGUGGCUAAUGGUUCAGGUCUCCCAAAAAGAAUCUUUAGUUUGUUAGAUAAUAUUAUUUGCAUGGUUGUUUCCUAGUGUAUCAUAUAUGGACUCUUGGGCCGAUAGGAUCUUCUUUGUAAACGUAUGUACUUCAAAACAUGAGGAAACCAUAUCUCGUUUAGUCCUAGCCGUAAAAUUAAGAUCUGAUGGUUAUUUAUCAGCACUUGUCAAGGAUUAACGUGGAGGCUCGUAUGGUGCCUCCAAUUAAUAAAUAUAUGAUUUUGACAUGGGCUUCUUAUAUAUUUCGCUAUAAAAAUUGAUUGGAACAAAUACGUACGCCUAGUUCGCUAGGAUAGGCCUUUAGCAAGGUUUAUCAUCUCCACUGUGUUGAAGAUUAGAUGAUAAGUAUGAACUAAAUGCAACUUGAUCCCAAGUCUUCAUAUUCCAAUCCCCAAAUUUACAACUUGCUCGUACUAUGCACAUCCUAUUAGUAACUUUUUUUGCUAGGAACACUUUUUAUAAUUUAUUUGUUUGUGAAUACACAAAUGUCAUUUUAACAGACUAUCUAUUUUUAUUCAGCUAGCAGAGGUUGGGCACAAUCAAUUUUUAUCCAAGACUAAAAAACCAUGUACAUUUUCGGGGGGCAUACAUCUUGUGUUUCUAAGAGACAACACUAAGAUAUUAUGCAUUGUGCCUCUUGUAUCAAACUUGUUUUUGUAUGUCAUAGAAAUAAUAGAGAUAGUGAUAUGAUUCACUGCACAUGGAUUAUCCUAAAAUAGAGAAACAAUUUAAAAACGGGAAACUUGCACAAAGAGUCCUUUUACGUGAUAUGGUUUCCAUAAAAAAUACCAAAAUUGAAAUAUGAUGCUUUGAAAAAAAAGGUGUUCUCGGAAAGAGGUAUCUUGUAUGCUUAUCUUGGCUUUCAACCCAAAAUACCAAGGCGAUAGUCAUAUCCAUGGGAAACAUGGUGGUAUUUUGCCCAUAUUCGGCACACAUGUGCAUCUUGGCAUGGCUUUACAAUGACACCUUAUUCACGUUGAUAAGAGCCUGUAUGCAAUAGCUACGGCUCUCCUAAAACAUUGUCGACCGAUGAAAUCUCUGGACCAAAAGUUGGGCAGAAAACGCCAGACCAGUGAAUGGGGUGCCAAAACAUGGAAAAGGGCGGGGAAUUGCCAAAAUUCUACCGUUGGUUGUAGCCUCACUGAAACCGACAUGUAAUUUGACCGUCGAAUAUUCAGACAACCUGGAACCCUAGCAUGCUACCAGGGCACCGACAUAAUGCAUGUAUUCUGUGCAUGCGAUACUGGCGCCCCCGCGACCAGAGGAAGGAAUAAACACCUAGACGGUACGCUAGUGCCUAAAUUUGGGCGGGAGAACACCAGAGUGGUGAGUUGGCCACCAAAAGAUGAAAAAGGGCUAGUCUUUGGCAGGUAUAAACAAGGGGGGAGGGGGGCUGGUAUUUCGGGUGCCAGAUCUUGUGAAGGUAAACAAGGAGAGAGACAUAAGAUGGAUACAAGCUGCUCCUCUGCCUUUGUUUGACUUGACUCAGCUGAAACAUAAUGUCGUUUCCAAAGAAACUUCAAUUACUGUUGAGAAGAGACAAAACCAAAUACUGCCAUUACACAAUAUAUAUCCGUCGUAAGAUAUUGAUUAAGCUAACCAAGCUGGACAUUGCCUACAGUACACCUAGAUAACUUAAUUUAUGCUAGCGACCGUGACGGCGAUCACCAAUUGAUUGUAUUUAGUGACUAAUAACCUGCCAUUGGUAUAUUUCAAAUUUUAUAUAUCAUUUGAUCCUCACCAUCGUCGGACAUGAUCGAGUCACAGAGAUAGGUACAAGUAGUUGUUCUGAGAAUAAGAAGAAAAAAUCGAUGCACUGACAAUCUCCAAUGUGUGUCCAUCUCAACCAUUUUAAAUUAAUUAGUACAAGUCCAAAUUAUCUGCUCUCCGGUAGAAACUAAAUUAGUCACGUUUGUUACGCUAGAGUUUGGUGCCAACGAACAAACCUAGCAAAUCAAUUGCACGUGGUCUCCUUAAACUACAAACAACGACAAUGAUGGAGGAGCCACUAAAUAGAAGGCCGGGCAGCGAUAGAAUGUACUUACUCAAUGGUUGCUAAUUUUUGUUGGUAAAUUGCGAGCGUUCUCCAGGGACGAACUCAAGAAGCAGUUUUUCUUGAUGAACGGACAAUAAGCUCCACCAUGCAAAAAUAUAAGGUUUCAGUUUGAGGAUCCAGCAAUAGUUCAUCAUGGAGCCUGAUGCACCAAGGUCAUAAUGCUGGUCUGGUGUGCAAAAUCCAAAGUAUGCAUCAGUUCUGCUCUCACACAUUGCGGAUCGUUCGAAUAUGCCAUCCAGAUCUUGUCUGUCCUGGAUAUACUUUUUGCUCGGAAUUAUAAAACUGUUCCUUUAUAAACUACUUACAGAAGCAUGAUUGUGGCUGUUGAACAUUUACUUUCCUUGAGUCGAAAAGACGCGCUAAUUUAGGGAAGCAGCAUGUGGGCACUGGAUAUCAUGUGCAUGCAUGUUCUUAACCCCCAAGCCACUCAGAUUAUUUGGCCCCAGAGCAAACCGCUUGGUUUGACCAGAAAAAAGACCUUCUACCCUUAUCCAUAGCAUAUGAAUGGAGAAGCAGAGCAUGAGCAGUGGGCAAACUAUCUAUCCUCUGAGAUGGACCAAGGAUAGAUAGUCGUUAGUGGCUCUAUAAAGAGGCCGGAUUCUGUCACACACAUAAGGGCUAAUUUGGCAGCAAGGUAAACGAAACCAGGGUAGCAAACCUUCGGGAGAUUAUACGCUAUUACUCACCUUCGGGAGAUUAUACGUUUCAAUCACUAUAUAUAUGACGUGCAAAAUGCAGCACACAUCCAUCACCAUCAGUUGAACUCGUGUCACACAAACUCCAUAGUCCAUACUUCUCUAGGUGUCAUCUCACUAUGCUGGAUACCUCUCCAAGUCUAUAUGUGAUGGACGGACGAACCAAGGCUCACUGGGCUUAAACACCUCCGGAAUGACAACCUCUACUACAACUCAACUCUGGAUUUUCGUACCUGUGCGUUUCACCAAACCAGUUGAUUAUAACCCCACUCUGCUCUUCUCUUCUCCAUGUAGAGUAGACCAGAGUAGGGACAACGAACACAUCAAUUACCAUCACAUACUAAAGUAUAUUCUAACAGCUGCUACAACUGAAUCAAUUAAUCAUGCCAAACACCCGUGCAUACCCACUCACUGCCAUUAUGUCCCGAAAUUGUCCAGCCUAGAACACACAAAUAAAAUAGAAUAGUCUCUAGUCUCCAUGCACUUUCACUGUUUGAUUGAUCACAAAAACUUACCUCAACAGUAAGAAAAUACACAAAUUUUGUUUUUCUCUGAUAUAUGAGAUCACAGAUUUUAGCCUUUUGGUGGUUCUAUUGACAUCAAUUGCAUGUACUAUAUUCACGGAUGCAAUUUUCUAACAAACCUUGCUAGCUAAUCUCCCUCGCACCUGCUCACAUCAAGAUUUAAACUGGAUGAGAUAAUGUAUAUGACUAUGUGUGACAUCAAGUUUAAGCGUUUAUGGUUCACGUUUUACAUCAAGUAUAUCGUAGUGUAGAGUAGCAAACUUAAUUCUCGAAAUCACCCAUACCAACGAAUGAAUGAAGAACCAAAGAGAUAAUUACAUCAGAGCUAGUCACUCCAUAGGCAAUAUCAGCAUAUUGUUAAUUGUUAAUGUGUAUAUCGAUCAAGUUUGUUUCUUUUCAAGUAAUCUAACACAUUCACCAAGGGAUUAAAUUGUAACUGAAUAGUACCAUUAGAAGUACAAAUAAGUUAACUAUUUGACAUUUGAUUUUCCACUAUUACUAAUUUUAUUUUUUAUUUUUUAUAUUCAAAUCUUCCGAGGUUUGUGUACAUUUUGUGUUGUUUAAGCCUGUCGGUCGACUGUAGAGUAGCCGCGCACCUCGUUCUUAUCCAUCUAAUCACAUGCACUAUGGUCUUCGCGUGGCAUUAAUUAAUUCCAUUGAUCAGUGAUAUAUUAUGUAGCUUGCUAGUUAAUAAUUAAUUAAUUAGCAGUUGAUGCAACUGCUCCAUUAUUAACAAUAAAAAGGCAUCCUCGUUUAGCUCGCAGGUCUUGUAUGAAUGCAUAAUCAUUUGCAUAAUAAUUAGGUAAGGCCGCUAGUUGGUGAGAAAUGCAUUGUACUUUCCUUGAGAUUAUCUGUCGACACCAAGCUGGUCAAUGGCGUGCAAUUUGAGAGCACUACCCUAUUCUCUGGGUUGUUAUAAAAAAAUUAAGGCAAAGGGACUGUGUACCCGUUGUAUCGAAUUGACAUGUACCUAGGAUAAAACUAAAUUAAUUUAUUCAUAAUCUAGUACAACAAAGGUGAAAUAAUUUAAAAAUCACUCCCUAAAAAAAGUAUAAGAAUGUGGCAAUCGCUCCCUAAAAACGGAAUGUAACAAUCACUCGUGGAAGGGGAAACGGCAAGACACCGCAAUGUCACUCGAACACUUUGACGUGUAGUACUGGGUAUGGGAAGAUUAUGUUGGGAUAAGAUAGUGGAUUGCCGGAGCCGGAGACCUCACCGGAGAGUUGGAAUUCCCCAUGUGGAUCCUGCUGUUGGCGAAAAAGCUGGUAAAGUGAAUGAGAGGAUGGUGGCGAACGGACACUGCACAUUCACCGGAUCUGGGCAAGGAAAGGGCACAAAUGAACAACACCUUCUUUUUCUAUUUUUUAAACGCCAAAAAGGUGCAGGUGUGUUAUGAAUCAAACUAGUGACCUCCUGCUUCAACGUAAGCUGCAGUAACCACUUACUUUUUUUCUUCAUAUUUUCUUCUUUCUACUUUUCUUUUUUCUUGUUUCUGGUUCGUUGAGGUUUUUUCCAAUUUUGUGAACUAUUUUUUUCAAAAUCAAUGAACUUUUUUCAAUUUGUAUACUUUUUUUCUGAAAUUGACAAAAAAUUGUAAUCAAUUGGUUUACUUUUUUUUUCCAAAUUUUGUGAUACUUAAGAAAAGUCAACUAGUCAGUCAGUGAACCGAUCAACUGGCACCAGUCAACCAGUGAGAGAUCUGAAGCGUAGGGAACACUCAACCCGGUUGCAUUUUGCUGCGCUGCAGCGAGAUGACAUUUUCAGCCGCAACCCAUGAAUGAAGGUAGUGAGCGCCAGGGAUUCUUUUCGCUGCUUGAAGCGCCGAAUAGGAGCUCCCAUGAGUUAGAUAGCUUUUGGAUGCAAAUUCAGUUUGCAGAUCAACGAGGCCACAAGCUUUCCGGUUGUUUUUUCCUUAAUCCAGUUCCAUCUAUGUAAAACUGCGAACGAUGGAUCAUCCAUCUCGAACGGAUCAACAUGGACAUGGUCAGCUCGAUCGUUACGCCAAAUGAAUACAAAUUAUGCACACACAAUCCGACGCGGCGAGUGAGAGCGACUUUGUUGAGAGGACCAAACUACCAUUAUUUUAUCUCAUUCUUCGUAUGAUAUUAAAACCGGCUAUUAGCUGUUUGUCUCUUGUAGACAUAUUUAAUCAGCUAUGUCAUACAAUACAAAUUAGGUGUUCCAUCACCUUCACAUUCAACUGCGGGUAUUCUGUUCUCGCAGAUGACUGGCUCUUUCAUAAAGAAUGUUUAAGGAAGUCUUAAUGACUGGGAAAGCCCUCCAGAUAGAAUGGUUGAAGUACUCUUGAACUGCACUGUAUGUAUUGCUUCUAGCUUUGGAUGAGCUUAAUCUCAUUUACGAGUAUUAAUCUACUUCAUAUGCAAGUUUGUAUCCAAGCUAGUUGUGUACGUAUAUUAGGAGUCCAAGUGUUUGGCCGAGCUUAGCACUAGUCCGACUAGGAUAAGUAUGAUGGUUGAUCAUGUACACGUGGUUUUUUGAGUUUGGGUUCCAAGGUGUGUCCUAAUGCUAGUAGUAAUAGGAAGUACGAGGUACGAGUAGGAUUAGUUGGUCUAUAGGUUGGCCACAUUGUGUGUGUGUGUGUGUGUGUGUGUGUGUGCGUGUGUGUGUGUGUGUACAUACUAGCAAAAUAGAUUGUGCGUUGCAACGAGAGAGAAAAUAACACACACUCUUAACCUAGUAACCAUGAAUCAAGAUUCUAAUAGGUCCACGCCCUUUAUUUUCAAAUGGAAUCACAUUUUUGUUGCCGACGGUGGUCUCAGUGCUCAGAAAACGAAAUCGCGUUUGAAUGUGGUCAGUCCUAGGCCUCUCUCUCCCUCUCUCUCUCUCUCUCUCUCUCUCUCUCUCUCUCUCUCUCUCACGCGCGGGCACGCGCACUCACUCGGAAUAAUAUGAGAAAUAUGUUGUUUUCAGCGGUGUGCAUGCAUGGUUAUCGAUGUUUUCUUUCCUCUCAAUCUGGUUUUAAUGGGUGUUUAUUUGAAAUUCGAAUCGCCGCCAGUACCAAAGAAAAAGGACCAUGCACAAUAAACUAAGUUUGCACCAAAAAUAAUAUUUAAGAAAUAUUUAACAGCUAAAAAUUACAUAAUGUUUAGAUUCUACACAUUUUUUAAUCAAAUUUCAUAUAUAACAUGUUAAAAUUAGAGUUACGGUUUAAAAAAUAUGAAUAAUUUUGUCUUAGAUAAACUAUGGAUUGAUUAACCGAAAAGUCAGGGGUUUUCUGUUAAAACAAAAAAAAGAUCCAGCUGACUUAAAUAUGGAUGACGGGUUGAUUACCUGAAAUGUCAGGGUUUUAUUGAGAAAUUCAAAAACACGGUUUGGCUAUGACUUAAACGUGUACUGCGGGUUAAUUUACACAAAACACAGGGAUUUUUUUUAAAUGGCAUGACGUUGAGCAGUCACAAGCACUCUGUGCUUUAUUAUUAGGUGUAGAUAUAGACGCGAGGAUAUAUCAAGAUUGUACCGUGAAGAAAAGGAGAAAAGAAUAAAGAAGAGGAAGAAAGAGUACGACAAGGCCCCUUGGAUACAAGGUUUGUGUGUGUUUGUGUGUGCGUGUGCGUGUGUGUGUGUGUAUGUGUGUGUGUGUGUGUGUGUGUGUGUGUGUGUGUGUGUGUGUUCAUCAUGUUAUAGGUGGUGAAACACACUAAUGAGCAAGGUAAAACUCACAUCGAUCAAGGUCAGUGGCAUUUGUUCAAGUUUGUAAGGUGACUGUAGGACGCCUAGUUACGUCUGUGAACAAAAAGAGUCAGUACCGGCAAGGUCAGUGGCCAUAGUAGUAGCAGUUGUAGGAUCAACAUUUAGGAGUAUCAAGGUAGACACGAAGAAUGGAUAACUAUCCCAGUUGCACCUACAAACUGAUCCAGAAUUGUUUCCAAGUUUUUUGCAGCAAGUGGAGUAGCCUUGACAGCGACCAAGGUGGCAUUGACAUAUUAUGGUGUCGGUCAUAGGAGAUCUGGUUAUAGUGGUUGAGAAUAAAAUGUUCCGUUUGCCUUUGAUUAAUUAUGCGUUGUCUGUAAUUUGGUAUUCAUGAAAGUCACUAUCACGAUUAAUUGACCAUGUUCUAGAUCUCUACAUCAAAUUUAUUCCUGUUAACCUCAAUGUUAUAGCUACAUCGAGAUACUUAUUUUUCAUAUGCGAGUAAUUGGUUGAGCUCUCCCAGCAGGACGAAGCAGCAAAGGGAGCAAACUGUAUACCAAACUGUGGAUGAAUGCCACAAUGGGGUAACUCGGAAAGUUUAACUCAUGCUCUAUGUCUUGCCCAAGGACAACAUACUCCGCGUGCAACUUUUUGUGUAUAUACCAGACGAUGCACCAUAAAGUAAUUUUUUUUACAAAUGGUAACAUAUUAGUAUCAAGAUGAUACAAAUUGCCAUUACAAAUAUACAAUAAACCAUUGUAGACCUCAUCGGUGUGAAAAAUUAAUUGGACGAACUAAAGUUUUGCAAUGAGAUGCUGAUGGUAGGCAUAAACAUGGACUUGGAGCUCGACUUGGAGUUGUCGUACUACUAGUAACUUUCUAGAUUGCAUGGAAAACUAUGAAUCCAAACAAGAUAACAGAUACAGUGAUGUAUUAUAUAUGAGCACACAGAGAAGAAAAAUAGAAACUUUAAACAUGGCUUCCAACGGGUUCUUCUGGUGUGUUAAGAGCCUUUAGAAGAUGAAACUGGGCUAGCUAUGGCCCUAGCCGUAAAGAACAUGGAAUUAGUGAUAUUACAACCGUGAAGGCUAACACGAAUAAGUUUCUAAGCGCCCCAACUGUGAUCAACACCACGAUCAAAAGUAUCCGCAACCGAAGAUGUAGUUAAAUCUAUUGAUGAUGCUGUCAAAUACCUCAUCUCGCUGAUUGGGAACCGGAGUCACCAUAUACGCCAACAUGAAAACCAGGUCAGCUAUGCAUAUAGAGAAUCUCACCCAGAUAGACUGAAAAAACCGUUGGUCAAUGACGCUCUCUUUUCUCAGCUGUAUUAUCUCUUUGCGGUGCCUAUUUUAGCGAACUCUUUUUCCAGCUCAAUAAGGUUGUGUUUUCACAAUUUUGCUGCAUGUACACUGUAUACUGUCCCCCGAACACCAAGCCUUCCAAUCCCAAGAACAAAAGGAAAGAGAUAGCAGCCCAAAAAUAGACCAAGUUAUCUUUCCAGCAUUGUCUUUCCUACCAGGAUUCGAAAUCCUUCUUGGCAAGACGAGCUGAAUUAUCUCCCAUAGUCCGAAACUCACAAGAACAUCAAAAAUCCGACGUGAAUGAAUUCAAUAAAGAACAGGUAUAGAUAAAAAAUAAUAAUCAAGUACGCAUAAAAUUGGUAGGUUCUCAGACAAUAUAUUGACAUAUGAGAACGUACAUGACACAUAUCACUGUGGACAUUGUCUAUGGCCUUAUUACAAGCAACAAGAGAAAUUACAUAGGCGUGUGAGUGCGCGUGCGCGCGCACACACACGUGCACACAUGCAUGACAUACAUGGAUUGACUAGAGGUCGCCCCAUAUAGUCAACAAUUUAUUGGAGGUAAACAUUAGCAUAACUUGGCCAUAGAUCGAAGCAAUCCAACAUAUGCCGAUGAAUGGCAUCCAUGUUGGUAGCAAUGCAAGCAUAUCGUUUUAGUACAGUCCUUCCAUCUUCGAAGCCACUCCCAUUUCAUCCAUCUUAGCAACCACUGUGAAAUUAAGAUAUAAAACUCCCAUUAGCUCAUGAGUUAAUUUUGCUAGGGCAGGAGAGUAUAAGAGGUCUUUGUGUAGGAAGUAACAUGCUUGAAGUUGUGAGAUGGGACAUGAAGUCAACGAAGUACAUUAAUGAAAAUCGGUGGAAGGUCACAGAGAUGUAUUAGUCCACCAUACGACACAGAUCUUGUAUUUACAAAUAUCAAAGGCAUUGAUUAAAGUGAGUUUAGUGCAUUUACCAGAAUCUUCAAGAAUACAGGGAAACAACAAGUGUUCUUGCAGGCAAAGUCAGAGCCACCCGCAAAAAUACAAGUAGAACAACAUCCUUUUGCGGCUAAGCUUAUGCAGCAGCCACAGUCUGCGGUGGUCGAGUUUACGGUGAGGCUCAGGAUGAGCAGGCACAUGAUCACCUUCAAAGUGGUAGUGCUAGUGACCAUCCUCUUACCCUCCAUUUUCUCUUGUUGAUGUUGCCUGCCUUGGUUACCUAGAUAAGUUUCUUGGUUUUGUGUUGAGAGGUGCUUCUUAAAUGGAUGUUGCUUGCUGCAAUUUAUAGGCAAUUGCAUUACGUUAUGAUAUGUAUAAGGUGCGAGUGGGUGGAAAAUCAUGUCGUAUUCAAUGUGACAGUAUCGACAAUUGAUGACAUUGGUUGGUAACCCGGACAAAUUCAUUCACACGUAUCUUGCGGAGGAAAUGUUGCAUCACCUACCAUAUUCAAUAUUAGGGAGAAAGCCUGAACUACACCAAUAGUGUGCAACUAGGCACAAAAAGCUACCACAAGUAGUGGAGUUCGUAUGAUAUUAGCAAGCUAUUAACAAUAACCAUGGAGGCAAUUAACACUAGCCCGUCAAAGAUGGUGCUAGCAACUUAUGGUGUUCAAUGCAACACCAGAGCAAAUAUGUAUGGACUUUGGUUAGUAAAAUUUCAACAGGCGCUACAUAUAUAUUUUGCUAUACAAAAUUGAUUGGAAGCAAUAGAGUAGGCUAGUUCCUAGGUAGACCUUUAGCAAUGUUCAUUUUGGCCAUGGUAUCGGAGAUCAGAUUAUAAGUAUGACGUACAUGCAACUUGAUCCCUUGUCCUCAUAUUUUAAUUCCCGCAUUCACAAGUUGCACGUACUAAGCACUCCCAAUUAUUACCCUUUUCAUUAUGCAACUAUUUUUAGAAUUUAUUUAUUUUUAAUAUACAAAUGUCAUUUAACAAACAAUCUAUUUUAUUCAGCUAGCGGAGGUCGGGCAAAACCGUUUUUUAUCCAAGUCUAGAAAACCUUGUAUAUUGUUCGGGCAUACAUUUUGCAUUUCUAAGAUAGAACCCCAAGAUAUUAGGCAUUGUGUCAGUUGUAUCAAACUUAUUUCUAUAUGACAUCAAAAUGUUAGAGAUAUUGAUAUGAUGCAAUGCACCGGGAUUAUCCUUAAAAACGAAAAACAAUUAAAAGGAGGAAAACUUGUGCAAAUAGUCCUUACGUGAUAUGGUCCUCAUCAAAAUUACCAAAUUUGGAAUAUGGUGCUUCGAAAAAAGAGUGUUCUCAAAAAGAGGUAUCAUGCCUGGCUUAUCUUGGCUUUCAACCCAAAUGGCCAAGCGAUGGCCAUAUCCAUGGCAAACAUUGUUUUUCGUUUUCCCAUAUUCGGCACACACAUGCAUCUUGGAACACAAAUCCAACCAACAACCAAUGAUCGUUUCAUUUCUUAGAGGUGCGGGCGAGGACAAUUAAAAACUUGUGAAACAGGUGUACCCGAGGCUUAAUUCACUAUUCGAGUAUACAGAUUGGGUCACUCUGUGUCGAAAUCACAACAAGAAAAUGUUUUGUUGAACAUCCUCUGUUAGAUAAGACUACAAGAUGAUGGUACUUUUGGGUCCUUCACAAAACAAGAAACUAACCAAGAGAUUAGGAUGACUGAUCUGUCCCAUGUAUGUCCUGCAAAUCAGUUGUUGAUAACGUUGCCAUUAUUUAGGAAAAGUCUCCUCACCUGAAUAUAUAUAUGCCACAAACCUUUAUUUAGGAAAAGGCUCCUCACCUCAAUAUAUUUCAAAUGUUUGACAAUUUUACAGGAUCAUGCAUAUGCGCGCUCCUUGGGUGCCCCAGAUUUUAGCCUAUGUAUCCAUAUGUAAGGUAAGAUCAGUGCCAAUGUUUUCGAUGGUGUCAAGGGGAGGAUCAUCUACAACUUAGAACAUCUUGUUCAUGGCACCCCAUAUUAUCCAUACUACAUGUAGAAGAAUUAAGCAUGGGAUAAAUAUAGCCAGAGGGCAUUGCGGUUGAGAAGAGAUCACCAAUUUGGAUGGAGAGUGCGUGCCAUAUCCUUCAAGCAGCAUGACAGGUGAAGAAGAGGUGAUGUCUAUCAUGGGCAGAUGGAGCUGGUGAGGAUUCUUUAUAUUUUGUAGAUUGCAUCUUGUGUUCACUCUGUCCAGGUAGAAGAGCCAGGCGAAGAUCUGUAUUCUCUUUCAAGGUGCGGUCCUAUGGAUCCGAAAGCUGGGGUGAUAGGGCAGCAUAUGCCCCCUCUUGAUGAAAGCUGACCCAUUAAGCAACCCUCGCUCGUCAGGAUCCUACAACAGAGAGUUUAACGAGCCAAGCUCUGGCGAGGCAGUUGAGGUUAGUCGGUUACGCAAGGAAAGUUCGACCUGCAUGAUGGCAUCUUUGGUGGGAUCGGUGAGAGAAAAUGGUAGGGAAAACAUUGGCUAAUGGUUCAGGGUUGAUCCACCUGUCAAGCCAAAACAAACAAUCUCAAACAGUGGCUAAUGGUUCAGGUCUCCCAAAAAGAAUCUUUAGUUUGUUAGAUAAUAUUAUUUGCAUGGUUGUUUCCUAGUGUAUCAUAUAUGGACUCUUGGGCCGAUAGGAUCUUCUUUGUAAACGUAUGUACUUCAAAACAUGAGGAAACCAUAUCUCGUUUAGUCCUAGCCGUAAAAUUAAGAUCUGAUGGUUAUUUAUCAGCACUUGUCAAGGAUUAACGUGGAGGCUCGUAUGGUGCCUCCAAUUAAUAAAUAUAUGAUUUUGAGAUGGGCUUCUUAUAUAUUUCGCUAUAAAAAUUGAUUGGAACAAAUACGUACGCCUAGUUUGCUAGGAUAGGCCUUUAGCAAGGUUUAUCAUCUCCACUGUGUUGAAGAUUAGAUGAUAAGUAUGAACUAAAUGCAACUUGAUCCCAAGUCUUCAUAUUCCAAUCCCCAAAUUUACAACUUGCUCGUACUAUGCACAUCCUAUUAGUAACUUUUUUUGCUAGGAACACUUUUUAUAAUUUAUUUGUUUGUGAAUACACAAAUGUCAUUUUAACAGACUAUCUAUUUUUAUUCAGCUAGCAGAGGUUGGGCACAAUCAAUUUUUAUCCAAGACUAAAAAACCAUGUACAUUUUCGGGGGGCAUACAUCUUGUGUUUCUAAGAGACAACACUAAGAUAUUAUGCAUUGUGCCUCUUGUAUCAAACUUGUUUUUGUAUGUCAUAGAAAUAAUAGAGAUAGUGAUAUGAUUCACUGCACAUGGAUUAUCCUAAAAUAGAGAAACAAUUUAAAAACGGGAAACUUGCACAAAGAGUCCUUUUACGUGAUAUGGUUUCCAUAAAAAAUACCAAAAUUGAAAUAUGACGCUUUGAAAAAAAAGUGUUCUCGGAAAGAGGUAUCAUGUAUGCUUAUCUUGGCUUUCAACCCAAAAUACCAAGGCGAUAGUCAUAUCCAUGGGAAACAUGGUGGUAUUUUGCCCAUAUUCGGCACACAUGUGCAUCUUGGCAUGGCUUUACAAUGACACCUUAUUCACGUUGAUAAGAGCCUGUAUGCAAUAGCUACGACUCUCCUAAAACAUUGUCGACCGAUGAAAUCUCUGGACCAAAAGUUGGGCAGAAAACGCCAGACCAGUGAAUGGGGUGCCAAAACAUGGAAAAGGGCGGGGAAUUGCCAAAAUUCUACCGUUGGUUGUAGCCUCACUGAAACCGACAUGUAAUUUGACCGUCGAAUAUUCAGACAACCUGGAACCCUAGCAUGCUACCAGGGCACCGACAUAAUGCAUGUAUUCUGUGCAUGCGGUACUGGCGCCCCCGCGACCAGAGGAAGGAAUAAACACCUAGACGGUACGCUAGUGCCUAAAUUUGGGCGGGAGAACACCAGAGUGGUGAGUUGGCCACCAAAAGAUGAAAAAGGGCUAGUCUUUGGCAGGUAUAAACAAGGGGGGAGGGGGGCUGGUAUUUCGGGUGCCAGAUCUUGUGAAGGUAAACAAGGAGAGAGACAUAAGAUGGAUACAAGCUGCUCCUCUGCCUUUGUUUGACUUGACUCAGCUGAAACAUAAUGUCGUUUCCAAAGAAACUUCAAUUACUGUUGAGAAGAGACAAAACCAAAUACUGCCAUUACACAAUAUAUAUCCGUCGUAAGAUAUUGAUUAAGCUAACCAAGCUGGACAUUGCCUACAGUACACCUAGAUAACUUAAUUUAUGCUAGCGACCGUGACGGCGAUCACCAAUUGAUUGUAUUUAGUGACUAAUAACCUGCCAUUGGUAUAUUUCAAAUUUUAUAUAUCAUUUGAUCCUCACCAUCGUCGGACAUGAUCGAGUCACAUAGAUAGGUACAAGUAGCUGUUCUGAGAAUAAGAAGAAAAAAUCGAUGCACUGACAAUCUCCAAUGUGUGUCCAUCUCAACCAUUUUAAAUUAAUUAGUACAAGUCCAAAUUAUCUGCUCUCCGGUAGAAACUAAAUUAGUCACGUUUGUUACGCUAGAGUUUGGUGCCAACGAACAAACCUAGCAAAUCAAUUGCACGUGGUCUCCUUAAACUACAAACAACGACAAUGAUGGAGGAGCCACUAAAUAGAAGGCCGGGCAGCGAUAGAAUGUACUUACUCAAUGGUUGCUAAUUUUUGUUGGUAAAUUGCGAGCGUUCUCCAGGGACGAACUCAAGAAGCAGUUUUUCUUGAUGAACGGACAAUAAGCUCCACCAUGCAAAAAUAUAAGGUUUCAGUUUGAGGAUCCAACAAUAGUUCAUCAUGGAGCCUGAUGCACCAAGGUCAUAAUGCUGGUCUGGUGUGCAAAAUCCAAAGUAUGCAUCAGUUCUGCUCUCACACAUUGCGGAUCGUUCGAAUAUGCCAUCCAGAUCUUGUCUGUCCUGGAUAUACUUUUUGCUCGGAAUUAUAAAACUGUUCCUUUAUAAACUACUUACAGAAGCAUGAUUGUGGCUGUUGAACAUUUACUUUCCUUGAGUCGAAAAGACGCGCUAAUUUAGGGAAGCAGCAUGUGGGCACUGGAUAUCAUGUGCAUGCAUGUUCUUAACCCCCAAGCCACAUAGAUUAUUUGGCCCCAGAGCAAACCGCUUGGUUUGACCAGAAAAAAGACCUUCUACCCUUAUCCAUAGCAUAUGAAUGGAGAAGCAGAGCAUGAGCAGUGGGCAAACUAUCUAUCCUCUGAGAUGGACCAAGGAUAGAUAGUCGUUAGUGGCUCUAUAAAGAGGCCGGAUUCUGUCACACACAUAAGGGCUAAUUUUGCAGCAAGGUAAACGAAACCAGGGUAGCAAACCUUCGGGAGAUUAUACGCUAUUACUCACCUUCGGGAGAUUAUACGUUUCAAUCACUAUAUAUAUGACGUGCAAAAUGCAGCACACAUCCAUCACCAUCAGUUGAACCCGUGUCACACAAACUCCAAAGUCCAUACUUCUCUAGGUGUCAUCUCACUAUGCUGGAUACCUCUCCAAGUCUAUAUGUGAUGGACGGACGGACCAAGGCUCACUGGGCUUAAACACCUCCGGAAUGACAACCUCUACUACAACUCAACUCUGGAUUUUCGUACCUGUGCGUUUCACCAAACCAGUUGAUUAUCACCCCACUCUGCUCUUCUCUUCUCCAUGUAGAGUAGACCAGAGUAGGGACAACGAACACAUCAAUUACCAUCACAUACUAAAGUAUAUUCUAACAGCUGCUACAACUGAAUCAAUUAAUCAUGCCAAACACCCGUGCAUACCCACUCACUGCCAUUAUGUCCCGAAAUUGUCCAGCCUAGAACACACAAAUAAAAUAGAAUAGUCUCUAGUCUCCAUGCACUUUCACUGUUUGAUUGAUCACAAAAACUUACCUCAACAGUAAGAAAAUACACAAAUUUUGUUUUUCUCUGAUAUAUGAGAUCACAGAUUUUAGCCUUUUGGUGGUUCUAUUGACAUCAAUUGCAUGUACUAUAUUCACGGAUGCAAUUUUCUAACAAACCUUGCUAGCUAAUCUCCCUCGCACCUGCUCACAUCAAGAUUUAAACUGGAUGAGAUAAUGUAUAUGACUAUGUCUGACAUCAAGUUUAAGCGUUUAUGGUUCACGUUUUACAUCAAGUAUAUCGUAGUGUAGAGUAGCAAACUUAAUUCUCGAAAUCACCCAUACCAACGAAUGAAUGAAGAACCAAAGAGAUAAUUACAUCAGAGCUAGUCACUCCAUAGGCAAUAUCAGCAUAUUGUUAAUUGUUAAUGUGUAUAUCGAUCAAGUUUGUUUCUUUUCAAGUAAUCUAACACAUUCACCAAGGGAUUAAAUUGUAACUGAAUAGUACCAUUAGAAGUACAAAUAAGUUAACUAUUUGACAUUUGAUUUUCCACUAUUACUAAUUUUAUUUUUUAUUUUUUAUAUUCAAAUCUUCCGAGGUUUGUGUACAUUUUGUGUUGUUUAAGCCUGUCGGUCGACUGUAGAGUAGCCGCGCACCUCAUUCUUAUCCAUCUAAUCACAUGCACUAUGGUCUUCGCGUGGCAUUAAUUAAUUCCAUUGAUCAGUGAUAUAUUAUGUAGCUUGCUAGUUAAUAAUUAAUUAAUUAGCAGUUGAUGCAACUGCUCCAUUAUUAACAAUAAAAAGGCAUCCUCGUUUAGCUCGCAGGUCUUGUAUGAAUGCAUAAUCAUUUGCAUAAUAAUUAGGUAAGGCCGCUAGUUGGUGAGAAAUGCAUUGUACUUUCCUUGAGAUUAUCUGUCGACACCAAGCUGGUCAAUGGCGUGCAAUUUGAGAGCACUACCCUAUUCUCUGGGUUGUUAUAAAAAAAUUAAGGCAAAGGGACUCUGUACCCGUUGUAUCGAAUUGACAUGUACCUAGGAUAAAACUAAAUUAAUUGAUUCAUAAUCUAGUACAACAAAGGUGAAAUAAUUUAAAAAUCACUCCCUAAAAAAAGUAUAAGAAUGUGGCAAUCGCUCCCUAAAAACGGAAUGUAACAAUCACUCGUGGAAGGGGAAACGGCAAGACACCGCAAUGUCACUCGAACACUUUGACGUGUAGUACUGGGUAUGGGGAGAUUAUGUUGGGAUAAGAUAGUGGAUUGCCGGAGCCGGAGACCUCACCGGAGAGUUGGAAUUCCCCAUGUGGAUUCUGCUGUUGGCGAAAAAGCUGGUAAAGUGAAUGAGAGGACGGUGGCGAACGGACACUGCACAUUCACCGGAUCUGGGCAAGGAAAGGGCACAAAUGAACAACACCUUCUUUUUCUGUUUUUUAAACGCCAAAAAGGUGCAGGUGUGUUAUGAAUCAAACUAGUGACCUCCUGCUUCAACGUAAGCUGCAGUAACCACUUACUUUUUUUCUUCAUAUUUUCUUCUUUCUACUUUUCUUUUUUCUUGUUUCUGGUUCGUUGAGGUUUUUUCCAAUUUUGUGAACUAUUUUUUUCAAAAUCAAUGAACUUUUUUCAAUUUGUAUACUUUUUUUUUUCUGAAAUUGACAAAAAAUUGUAAUCAAUUGGUUUACUUUUUUUUCCAAAUUUUGUGAUACUUAAGAAAAGUCAACUAGUCAGUCAGUGAACCGAUCAACUGGCACCAGUCAACCAGUGAGAGAUCUGAAGCGUAGGGAACACUCAACCCGGUUGCAUUUUGCUGCGCUGCAGCGAGAUGACAUUUUCAGCCGCAACCCAUGAAUGAAGGUAGUGAGCGCCAGGGAUUCUUUUCGCUGCUUGAAGCGCCGAAUAGGAGCUCCCAUGAGUUAGAUAGCUUUUGGGUGCAAAUUCAGUUUGCAGAUCAACGAGGCCACAAGCUUUCCGGUUGUUUUUUCCUUAAUCCAGUUCCAUCUAUGUAAAACUGCGAACGACGGAUCAUCCAUCUUGAACGGAUCAACAUGCACAUGGUCAGCUCGAUCGUUACGCCAAAUGAAUACAAAUUAUGCACACACAAUCCGACGCGGCGAGUGAGAGCGACUUUGUUGAGAGGACCAAACUACCAUUAUUUUAUCUCAUUCUUCGUAUGAUAUUAAAACCGGCUAUUAGCUGUUUGUCUCUUGUAGACAUAUUUAAUCAGCUAUGUCAUACAAUACAAAUUAGGUGUUCCAUCACCUUCACAUUCAACUGCGGGUAUUCUGUUCUCGCAGAUGACUGGCUCUUUCAUAAAGAAUGUUUAAGGAAGUCUUAAUGACUGGGAAAGCCCUCCAGAUAGAAUGGUUGAAGUACUCUUGAACUGCACUGUAUGUAUUGCUUCUAGCUUUGGAUGAGCUUAAUAUCAUUUACGAGUAUUAAUCUAGUUCAUAUGGAAGUUUGUAUCCAAGCUAGUUGUGUACGUAUAUUAGGAGUCCAAGUGUUUGGCCGAGCUUAGCACUAGUCCGACUAGGAUAAGUAUGAUGGUUGAUCAUGUACACGUGGUUUUUUGAGUUUGGGUUCCAAGGUGUGUCCUAAUGCUAGUAGUAAUAGGAAGUACGAGGUACGAGUAGGAUUAGUUGGUCUAUAGGUUGGCCACAUUGUGUGUGUGUGUGUGUGUACAUACUAGCAAAAUAGAUUGUGCGUUGCAACGAGAGAGAAAAUAACACACACUCUUAACCUAGUAACCAUGAAUCAAGAUUCUAAUAGGUCCACGCCCUUUAUUUUCAAAUGGAAUCACAUUUUUGUUGCCGACGGUGGUCUCAGUGCUCAGAAAACGAAAUCGCGUUUGAAUGUGGUCAGUCCUAGGCCUCUCUCUCUCUCUCUCUCUCUCUCUCUCUCUCUCUCUCUCUCUCUCUCUCUCUCUCUCUCUCUCUCUCUCACGCGCGGGCACGCGCACUCACUCGGAAUAAUAUGAGAAAUAUGUUGUUUUCAGCGGUGUGCAUGCAUGGUUAUCGAUGUUUUCUUUCCUCUCAAUCUGGUUUUAAUGGGUGUUUAUUUGAAAUUCGAAUCGCCGCCAGUACCAAAGAAAAAGGACCAUGCACAAUAAACUAAGUUUGCACCAAAAAUAAUAUUUAAGAAAUAUUUAACAGCUAAAAAUAACAUAAUGUUUAGAUUCUACACAUUUUUUAAUCAAAUUUCAUAUAUAACAUGUUAAAAUUAGAGUUACGGUUUAAAAAUAUGAAUAAUUUUGUCUUAGAUAAACUAUGGAUUGAUUAACCGAAAAGUCAGGGGUUUUCUGUUAAAACAACAAAAAGAUCCAGCUGACUUAAAUAUGGAUGACGGGUUGAUUACCUGAAAUGUCAGGGUUUUAUUGAGAAAUUCAAAAACACGGUUUGGCUAUGACUUAAACGUGUACUGCGGGUUAAUUUACACAAAACACAGGGAUUUUUUUUAAAUGGCAUGACGUUGAGCAGUCACAAGCACUCUGUGCUUUAUUAUUAGGUGUAGAUAUAGACGCGAGGAUAUAUCAAGAUUGUACCGUGAAGAAAAGGAGAAAAGAAUAAAGAAGAGGAAGAAAGAGUACGACAAGGCCCCUUGGAUACAAGGUUUGUGUGUGUUUGUGUGUGCGUGUGUGUGUGCGCGCGCGCGCGCGCGCGCGCGCGCGUGUGUGUGUGUGUGUGUGUGUGUGUGUGUUCAUCAUGUUAUAGGUGGUGAAACACACUAAUGAGCAAGGUAAAACUCACAUCGAUCAAGGUCAGUGGCAUUUGUUCAAGUUUGUAAGGUGACUGUAGGACGCCUAGUUACGUCUGUGAACAAAAAGAGUCAGUACCGGCAAGGUCAGUGGCCAUAGUAGUAGCAGUUGUAGGAUCAACAUUUAGGAGUAUCAAGGUAGACACGAAGAAUGGAUAACUAUCCCAGUUGCACCUACAAACUGAUCCAGAAUUGUUUCCAAGUUUUUUGCAGCAAGUGGAGUAGCCUUGACAGCGACCAAGGUGGCAUUGACAUAUUAUGGUGUCGGUCAUAGGAGAUCUGGUUAUAGUGGUUGAGAAUAAAAUGUUCCGUUUGCCUUUGAUUAAUUAUGCGUUGUCUGUAAUUUGGUAUUCAUGAAAGUCACUAUCACGAUUAAUUGACCAUGUUCUAGAUCUCUACAUCAAAUUUAUUCCUGUUAUCCUCAAUGUUAUAGCUACAUCGAGAUACUUAUUUUUCAUAUGCGAGUAAUUGGUUGAGCUCUCCCAGCAGGACGAAGCAGCAAAGGGAGCAAAAUGUAUACCAAACUGUGGAUGAAUGCCACAAUGGGGUAACUCGGAAAGUUUAACUCAUGCUCUAUGUCUUGCCCAAGGACAACAUACUCCGCGUGCAACUUUUUGUGUAUAUACCAGACGAUGCGCCAUAAACUAAUUUUUGUUACAAAUGGUAACAUAUUAGUAUCAAGAUGACACAAAUUUCCAUUACAAAUAUACAAUAAACCAUUGUAGACCUCAUCGGUGUGAAAAAUUAAUUGGACGAACUAAAGUUUUGCAAUGAGAUGCUGAUGGUAGGCAUCAACAUGGACUUGGAGCUCGACUUGGAGUUGUCGUACUACUAGUAACUUUCUAGAUCGCAUGGAAAACUAUGAAUCCAAACAAGAUAACAGAUACAAUGAUGUAUUAUAUAUGAGCACAGAGAGAGAAAAAAAUAGAAACUUUAAACAUGGCUUCCAACGGGUUCUUCUGGUGUGUUAAGAGCCUUUAGAAGAUGAAACUGGGCUAGCUAUGGCCCUAGCCAUAAAGAACAUGGAAUUAGUGAUAUUACAACCGUGAAGGCUAACACGAAUAAGUUUCUAAGCGCCCCAACUGUGAUCAACACCACGAUCAAAAGUAUCCGCAACCGAAGAUGUAGUUAAAUCUAUCGAUGAUGCUGUCAAAUACCUCAUCUCGCUGAUUGGGAACCGGAGUCACCAUAUACGCCAACAUGAAAACCAGGUCAGCUAUGCAUAUAGAGAAUCUCACCCAGAUAGACUGAAAAAACCGUUGGUCAAUGAGGCUCUCUUUUCUCAGCUGUAUUAUCUCUUUGCGGUGCCUAUUUUAGCGAACUCUUUUUCCAGCUCAAUAAGGUUGUGUUUUCACAACUUUGCUGCAUGUACACCGUAUAUUGUCCCCCGAACACCAAGCCUUCCAAUCCCAAGAACAAAAGGAAAGAGAUAGCAGCCCAAAAAUAGACCAAGUUAUCUUUCCAGCAUUGUCUUUCCUACCAGGAUUCGAAAUCCUUCUUGGCAAGACGAGCUGAAUUAUCUCCCAUAGUCCGAAACUCACAAGAACAUCAAAAAUCCGACGUGAAUGAAUUCAAUAAAGAACAGGUAUAGAUAAAAAAUAAUAAUCAAGUACGAAUAAAAUUGGUAGGGUCUCAGACAAUAUAUUGACAUAUGAGAACGUACAUGACACAUAUCACUGUGGACAUUGUCUAUGGCCUUAUUACAAGCAACAAGAGAAAUUACAUAGGCGUGUGAGUGCGCGUGCGCGCGCACACACACGUGCACACAUGCAUGACAUACAUGGAUUGACUAGAGGUCGCCCCAUAUAGUCAACAAUUUAUUGGAGGUAAACAUUAGCAUAACUUGGCCAUAGAUCGAAGCAAUCCAACAUAUGCCGAUGAAUGGCAUCCAUGUUGGUAGCAAUGCAAGCAUAUCGUUUUAGUACA
rnacentral:lncRNA from 1 species